rnacentral:rRNA from 1 species
UGGGGAAUUUUGCGCAAUGGGGGAAACCCUGACGCAGCAACGCCGCGUGAGUGAUGAAGGCCUUCGGGUCGUAAAGCUCUGUCAGAGGGGAAGAAAUGCAGGGGUGCUAAUAUCAUCUUUGCUUGACGGUACCCUCAAAGGAAGCACCGGCUAACUCCGUGCCAGCAGCCCCGGUAAUCCGACGGGUGCGCGCGUCGUUCGGCAUUAUUGGGCGUAAAGCGCGUGUAGGCGGUUUGGUAAGUCUGAUGUGAAAGCCCCGGGCUCAACCUGGGAAGUGCAUUGGAAACUGUCAGACUUGAAUACGGGAGAGGGUAGUGGAAUUCCUAGUGUAGGAGUGAGAUCCGUAGAUAUUAGGAGGAACUCCGGUGGCGAAGGCGGCUACCUGGACCGAUAUUGACGCUGAGACGCGAAAGCGUGGGGAGCAAACAG